rnacentral:lncRNA from 1 species
UUUGUUUUCUUGUUUUCGGUUUCAUUCUCCAUCAAAAAGUACAAUAAAUAAUUGAAUUAUUGAAUCACUAAUGUUUCAAAUCAUUCAUAUUUACUACGAAGUAAUUGGUAUUGAGAAGGUGGACAAUUAUGAAUUAGUAUUUCACGUGGAUUUAAAAUUUCGUUGGACUUUUGAUCGUUGAAUUGCUGCCAAUCGAAUUGUUGCCAAUGGUAUGAUGCAGGGAUAUGAAUAAUAAUUGAGUUAUCUGCCAUCUGAAUGCAAAAUACAUGGGUUGCUGCCAAUCCUUGAUGCAUAUACAAAUCUCUAGAGUUAUCUAUGAUGGAGUUUAAUUGAGAUCGAUAAAGAAGAAGAAAUAACAUCAGGUUUUGUUAUGUUUGCACAGAUUGACAGGAAAACAAUAAAUAUUAUGUGAUUGAGGGAAAGAAUACACACAUAAUAGAACAAUAUGAGCCAUUGAUUAAAUAAAAUAAACGGUUGAGAUUUGGUGUCAACGAAUCUGUUAAUACCUGGUGUCAACCGAUCCUAUCUCAUAUAUAUAUAUAUGGGAUGUAUCAAAUGAGAGAACUUCUUAUAAUGAGAGGGUGAGAGCAUUACUUAUUGACCAUUGGAUUGAAAUAAACGGUUCAGAUUUUAUUGCUCCUUAGAAAGGGUCAUGCACUACAUCCUCCACCUUUCAUCUUCUCCACUUUGACGCGUUCUCUUUCUCUCACAAGUAAUUUCUACUCUCUGUGUUUCUUUUUUUUUUUUUCUCUCUUUCUCAUGGUUUUAAUUUCAUCAGUUGGUCUCAACAAAAACUUCACUAUCACCAUCAUCGUAAUCAAAGACCCAUUUUUUUGGUUUUUUAGGUUAAGGGAAAAUUAAACAGACAUCCAUCUGCAAAUCUAUACUCGAGUCACAAGAAGUUGUUGGGUUUUCAGCAACCGAAUUCGUUUGAUUGGCAAAACAAUUUCGUUUUCUUUUUCAUAUUCAUUUCUUUUUCAGCAAUCGAAGGGUUUGAGAUAAAAAUUCAUGGCUAUGCCCUUUGUGUUAGCUUUAGGCUGAUUUGGAUUAAAAAAGGUUUUUUAAUAAAUAGACAUAUAGAUUGAGAUUAAUUAAUC